AUGUCAAAAGAGGUACUUGUUCAAGUGGCCUCGCUUGAGUCAUCGCAUGCAAUCUGGGCUGCGUUGGCAAAUAUGUUCUCUGCAGUAUCAUUAUCCCGUGUCAACAACGUAUCAGCCCUCACCAAUGCACAGAAAGGAUCCCAGUCGGCCUCGGCGUACUUCGGCCACAUGUGCUCCCUCUCUGAUGAGCUCGCGGCGGCGAGCAAACCACUCGGGGAGGGGAAGCUCAUCUCCUUCAUCGUCGCUGGGCUCGAUAUGGAGUAUCAGUUGAUCAUCUCUACACUCGACGUCCGCACCGAGCCCAUCACCAUCGACGCACUUUUUUCUCUGGUGGCGAACUUCGACCGACGGGUCGAGAUGUUCCAUGGGAACGGCGCGAGUGGCUUCAAAUCAUCCGCGAAUGCUACCUCU
rnacentral:rRNA from 1 species